AAAAUAAAAGUUGGCUAUCCGCUGGAAUUGUUCGAAUAAAUUUUGAGGAAUGAAGGUGAUUAUAUUGUAUUUGGACGUUUUGAUUACAUUGUCCUGAAAUAGUUAAAUACAUUAAACAUCAAUGAUAAAUAUUUUCUUAUUCCAAUAUAC
ensembl:ncRNA Y17G9A.88 ncRNA